AACUUUCGGCAAUGGAUCACUUGGUUCUGGCAUCGAUGAAGAACGCAGCUAAAUGCGAUAAGUAAUGUGAAUUGCAGAAUUCAGUGAAUCAUCGAAUCUUUGAACGCACAUUACGCCCGCUGGUAUUCCGGCGGGCAUGCCUGUUCGAGCGUCAUUAUGACCAAUCAAGCUCUGCUUGGCCUUGGGGCCCGCUGUACCGGCGACCCUUAAAAUCAGUGGCGGUGCCGUCUGGCUCUAAGCGUAGUAAUACUUCUCGCUACAGGGUCCAGCCGUCCACCCGCCAGAACCCCCAACUUUCUUAGGUUGACCUCGGAUCAGGUAGGGAUACCCGCUGAACUUAAGCAUAUCAAUAAGCGGAGGCU
rnacentral:misc_RNA from 1 species